AUUGAACGCUGGCGGCAGGCCUAACACAUGCAAGUCGAACGAGUGGCGGACGGGUGAGUAAUGUCUGGGAAACUGCCUGAUGGAGGGGGAUAACUACUGGAAACGGUAGCUAAUACCGCAUACCAUCGGAUGUGCCCAGAUGGGAUUAGCUAGUAGGUGGGGUAACGGCUCACCUAGGCGACGAUCCCUAGCUGGUCUGAGAGGAUGACCAGCCACACUGGACCUGUGACACGGUCCAGACGCCGACGGGUGGCAGCAGUGGGGAAUAUUGCACAAUGGGCGCAAGCCUGAUGCAGCCAUGCCGCGUGUAUGAAGAAGGCCUUCGGGUUGUAAAGCACUUUCAGCGGGGAGGCGUUACCCGCAGAAGAAGCACCGGCUAACUCCGGGCCAGCAGCCGCGGUAAUUC
rnacentral:rRNA from 1 species